CAGUAGCCGCGGGAAUACAGAGGGUGCGAGCGUUAAUUGGAUUUACUGGGCGUAAAGCGUGCGUAGGCGGCUUCUUAAGUCGGAUGUGAAAUCCCUGAGCUUAACUUAGGAAUUGCAUUCGAUACUGGGAAGCUAGAGUAUGGGAGAGGAUGGUAGAAUUCCAGGUGUAGCGGUGAAAUGCGUAGAGAUCUGGAGGAAUACCGAUGGCGAAGGCAGCCAUCUGGCCUAAUACUGACGCUGAGGUACGAAAGCAUGGGGAGCAAACAGGAUUAGAUACCCGAGUAGUCCCUGUCUCUUAUAC
rnacentral:rRNA from 1 species